AGUCGAGAAUCUUUCGCAAUGGACGAAAGUCUGACGAAGCGACGCCGCGUGUGUGAUGAAGGCUCUAGGGUUGUAAAGCACUUUCGCUUAGGAAUAAGGGAUGUUGGCUAAUAUCCGACAAACUUGAGCGUACUAGGUAAAGAAGCACCGGCUAACUCCGUGCCAGCAGCUGCGGUAAUACGGAGGGUGCUAGCGUUAAUCGGAUUUAUUGGGCGUAAAGGGCGUGUAGGCGGAAAGGUAAGUUAGAUGUUAAAUCUUGAGGCUCAACCUCAAGACCGCAUUUAAUACUAUUUUUCUAGAGGAUAGAUGGAGAAAAGGGAAUUCCACGUGUAGCGGUGAAAUGCGUAGAUAUGUGGAAGAACACCAGUGGCGAAGGCGCUUUUCUAAUUUAUUCCUGACGCUGAGGCGCGAAAGCAAGGGGAGCAAA
rnacentral:rRNA from 1 species